GCCUAUGCUUUGAACCUCAGCCCAGGUAGUGUUCUGUUGCCCUCUUCUCCUUCUGGAGCCUUGAUGUGGGCAGCACUCUGAAACGUUUGCCCCUACGUCUGAAGUUUGAAAUAAAGGAUUCAAGGAUUUUCCAGACUGAGUCUUUAUUUAUUCAGUCUGCAGACCAACACACUCUCCCCUUCUGCCCUUCUAUCCUCUCCCAGACCCGACUCAGACACGUCCUUCCCUUUCUGCACGGCCCUUUCUUCUCUACACACACAGGACACAUUCAGAUGGAUUAGUGACGUAUAAUAAUAGCACAACUAUGUGCUAACAUUCAAAAGUGGUGUGUGUUUAGCCUGUCCCCAGAUGCUUGGAAUUGAACAAUUGAUGUUUAUUCCCAGAUCUCCCUGCUCCUGGACCAAUUGAUGUUUAUUUCCAGAUCUCCCUGCUCCUGGACCAAUUGAUCUCCUCUUGGUGAAGACGGACUCUGUGUCUCUAAGAUGGGGACCUCCUGCAGGACUGACCACACCCCACAAGUUCAGAGUGACAUGGAGAAGUGAAGGAGACUUUGGAAGAAGUCUCAUAGUGACCGGCGGAAAGGUUGAUAUUUGUGAACUCAUUUCGGGGGAGAAAUAUGACUUUACUGUGGCCACCAUCAUGGGCGCUGGCAGCCAGAGUCCACGUGUCUCUGCAACUCAAUGCACAGAUAUCCCUGUCCCUGAGAAUGUCACUGUGAUCACUGAUCUACCAUCAGUGUCAGUGCUUCGGAGCCAUCCGGCAGGAGUGGAUAAGGUCUCAUAGCUGCUGGCCCUCAGCACUGAAGGAGAAUGUUUGCACAGCAUUUCCACAAACUCUCCUCACUACUCCUUUCAUGAGAUACCAAUGGACAGAGAAUAUUCUAUCAGUGUUUCUACGGUCCUGAAGCAAGGGAGUCAGAGCAAGCCCAUAUCUAAAAAUAGAACAAGU
ensembl:lncRNA